AUUGAACGCUGGCGGCAGGCCUAACACAUGCAAGUCGAGCGGUAGAGAGAAGCUUGCUUCUCUUGAGAGCGGCGGACGGGUGAGUAAUGCCUAGGAAUCUGCCUGGUAGUGGGGGAUAACGUCCGGAAACGGACGCUAAUACCGCAUACGUCCUACGGGAGAAAGCAGGGGACCUUCGGGCCUUGCGCUAUCAGAUGAGCCUAGGUCGGAUUAGCUAGUUGGUGGGGUAAUGGCUCACCAAGGCGACGAUCCGUAACUGGUCUGAGAGGAUGAUCAGUCACACUGGAACUGAGACACGGUCCAGACUCCUACGGGAGGCAGCAGUGGGGAAUAUUGGACAAUGGGCGAAAGCCUGAUCCAGCCAUGCCGCGUGUGUGAAGAAGGUCUUCGGAUUGUAAAGCACUUUAAGUUGGGAGGAAGGGCAGUAAAUUAAUACUUUGCUGUUUUGACGUUACCGAC
rnacentral:rRNA from 1 species